GAUUUUUCGUUUGGCUUGAGGCCUCUCUCUGCAAAUAGUGUCCACCGACUUUCUUCCCCGAAGCCGGAAGCAAUGUUUGCAGAGAGGGACCUCGGUUAAACGCAAAAAAACCG
rnacentral:ncRNA from 1 species